AGAGUUUGAUCAUGGCUCAGAUUGAACGCUGGCGGCAGGCCUAACACAUGCAAGUCGAACGGUAACAGGAAGCAGCUUGCUGCUUUGCUGACGAGUGGCGGACGGGUGAGUAAUGUCUGGGAAACUGCCUGAUGGAGGGGGAUAACUACUGGAAACGGUAGCUAAUACCGCAUAACGUCGCAAGACCAAAGAGGGGGACCUUCGGGCCUCUUGCCAUCGGAUGUGCCCAGAUGGGAUUAGCUAGUAGGUGGGGUAAAGGCUCACCUAGGCGACGAUCCCUAGCUGGUCUGAGAGGAUGACCAGCCACACUGGAACUGAGACACGGUCCAGACUCCUACGGGAGGCAGCAGUGGGGAAUAUUGCACAAUGGGCGCAAGCCUGAUGCAGCCAUGCCGCGUGUAUGAAGAAGGCCUUCGGGUUGUAAAGUACUUUCAGCGGGGAGGAAGGGAGUAAAGUUAAUACCUUUGCUCAUUGACGUUACCCGCAGAAGAAGCACCGGCUAACUCCGUGCCAGCAGCCGCGGUAAUACGGAGGGUGCAAGCGUUAAUCGGAAUUACUGGGCGUAAAGCGCACGCAGGCGGUUUGUUAAGUCAGAUGUGAAAUCCCCGGGCUCAACCUGGGAACUGCAUCUGAUACUGGCAAGCUUGAGUCUCGUAGAGGGGGGUAGAAUUCCAGGUGUAGCGGUGAAAUGCGUAGAGAUCUGGAGGAAUACCGGUGGCGAAGGCGGCCCCCUGGACGAAGACUGACGCUCAGGUGCGAAAGCGUGGGGAGCAAACAGGAUUAGAUACCCUGGUAGUCCACGCCGUAAACGAUGUCGACUUGGAGGUUGUGCCCUUGAGGCGUGGCUUCCGGAGCUAACGCGUUAAGUCGACCGCCUGGGGAGUACGGCCGCAAGGUUAAAACUCAAAUGAAUUGACGGGGGCCCGCACAAGCGGUGGAGCAUGUGGUUUAAUUCGAUGCAACGCGAAGAACCUUACCUGGUCUUGACAUCCACGGAAGUUUUCAGAGAUGAGAAUGUGCCUUCGGGAACCGUGAGACAGGUGCUGCAUGGCUGUCGUCAGCUCGUGUUGUGAAAUGUUGGGUUAAGUCCCGCAACGAGCGCAACCC
rnacentral:rRNA from 1 species